ACAGAAUACAGGCUCAUAAAAUAAAUCUGCAGUUUGAAUUUCACACCAGUACAGAACCUAGAACAUGCGUGUGAAAAAUAACACAUUUGUCAAAGUUUGUACACUUUUCCCACAGUAAAAUUCAGGCAGUUUGAAGGCAAGUUUUCAAAAUCUUACACCAGUUUUGAGGUAAAAAAAAAGGCUGUUUCAAUUAACCAUUUCAUUAUUACUGUAAUUAGAUCUGGACAGGAUGGCUGAAAAACGCAUCACAAUACAAGCAUUUCACAUCAGUUGAUAGAUCAAUAUUUAUCGUUUUAAAUAACUGAAAUGGUGCCAAACUGGUGACGUGACAUUUCCCCGUUUUACCACAAUUUUGACUCUGCGUUUUUUUUCCCCCCACUUUUGAGCAGUUAUGAGGAGCAAACUGCUGCAUCAGUUACUCAGCAGGUCGUUGCUAGGUAACCACAAGUUACUCAGCAGGUUGUUGCUAGGUAACCAGAGAGUUAAUCUCGUUUAGCUUGCCGAGAGGUGAACAUUUUUCCUCUGCUUAUAUCCCCCAUAAUACCAUAAAUUUUCUACCAGGAGCUUUAUUUAUAGAUAUUAAUCACGUGUCUAUUGCGAUAUACAUAUUGUUAUUUAUUGCUAAUAAAAUAAAAGAUUACAUUUAGGAAACAUUUUUCAUACUCCUGACCAGUCCAACAACAAAACACUAAUUUAAUGACACAUCCCCCAAUUUCAAUAACUUUAUCAUAAUUUCCCUUUGGGAUCAAUAGUGUUUUUGAAUUUGAAAACAAAUAAGAAUCUUUAUUUCAGUUACUGUGCAGUUCAAGCACCUGUACAAACCGUGAGUUGCGGAGAUCUGAAGGACACACUUUAGGAGAAACAAAAGAAAAAGGGGGGGGGGGGAAACAAAAGGUG